UUAUUUUGUUUUCUGUCUGUCUGUCUUUUCAGUGAUGAGAAUUGAAGCUAGGGUUUUGGCACACUAGGUAAAUUCUCUACCAUUGGACUAAACACUAAGCCCUAAGUGUUCUUUUGGCUAUUUUGUGAUUGCCUCAGUGACUAAUCAGAAUAAACUCCUGUACAUUUCAAAACACUAAGAAAACUUUAAAAUCAUUUUUGCUUCACUGGAAUUAGACUUCCAGUGUUAUAAAGUGAAAAGAAAAAUGAUGUUCCUAAGGGUUACGCAUGUGAAGAAUGUAGGUGACUGUUAGGCUGCUUAGGUAAGAGGCGCAUGCUUUCAGCAUUGGUCUGUAUCUGUAGUAAGCUGCAAAACCAACAGGUGCCAUGACCUACUUUUCUUAAUAAUCCCAUUAUAGGAAUGGAAUUUAUAGAUUGGCCAAGGGGGUACUUUUGUGUUGGGAAAGCUUUAAUAUCCUUUUCUUUAUACACACACACACACACACACACACACUCACCUAGAAACCCUGAUAUUACAUUCUUGGGCAGAUACCUGUUUAAAACCUGAGAUGCCAUGGCUGGGACUUCUUCUGUCAUCCAACUAGAAUUUCUCCCCUGUGUCCUCUGAGGAAGAUGUUAAUCUGCUGUCACUUCAUACUUCCUUGGAUGAAAAAAGAAGAAGAAAAGAAAAGAAAAACUACAGUAAAAUUUCAAAACACAUCAAUCCAGGAGCAACAUGCUCAAGACUUUCAGGGUUAAGACAAAAGAUUCUCAGCCUGUGGCGAGGGCCAGGAGGAGAAGCAGAACUCCAGAGAUCCAGCCAUGGUGGGAAUCAGGAAGCUUAUUCACCUGCCCUGUUGGUAAGCAUUGUGGAGAGAGCCAGGAGAAGAAGCAGCACUCCCGAGACCCAGACAUGGUCAUGGUUUAUCUUUGUUCAUCCCAGCCCGUGAGGCAAAGCAACCCAAGGUAGUUGGAGAGAACAACAUCAUUCCUG